GACAGAGGAUGCAAGCGUUAUCCGGAAUGAUUGGGCGUAAAGCGUCUGUAGGUGGCUUUUCAAGUCCGCCGUCAAAUCCCAGGGCUCAACCCUGGACAGGCGGUGGAAACUGCCAAGCUGGAGUACGGUAGGGGCAGAGGGAAUUUCCGGUGGAGCGGUGAAAUGCGUAGAGAUCGGAAAGAACACCAACGGCGAAAGCGGGUUACUGGGUCAUUACUGACGCUGAAGAACGAAAGCCAGGGUAGCAAAAGGG
rnacentral:rRNA from 1 species